rnacentral:rRNA from 1 species
UACGAAGGGGGCGAGCGUUGUUCGGAUUUACUGGGCGUAAAGGGCGCGCAGGCGGUCUUGAAAGUCAGGCGUGAAAGCCCCGGGCUUAACCUGGGAAUUGCGCUUGAUACUGGGUAUCUCGAGUCCGGAAGAGGUGAGUGGAAUUCCGAGUGUAGAGGUGAAAUUCGUAGAUAUUCGCAAGAACACCUGUGGCGAAAGCGGCGCACUGGACCAUAACUGACGCUGAUGCGCGAAAGCUAGGGGAGCAAACAGG